rnacentral:rRNA from 1 species
CAGUAGCCGCGGUAAUACAGAGGGUGCAAGCGUUAAUCGGAAUUACUGGGCGUAAAGCGCGCGUAGGUGGUUCGCCAAGUUGGAUGUGAAAUCCCCGGGCUCAACCUGGGAACUGCAUCCAAAACUGGCGAGCUAGAGUAUGGUAGAGGGUGGUGGAAUUUCCUGUGUAGCGGUGAAAUGCGUAGAUAUAGGAAGGAACAUCAGUGGCGAAGGCGACCACCUGGACUGAUACUGACACUGAGGUGCGAAAGCGUGGGGAGCAAACAGGAUUAGAUACCCCCGUAGUCCCUGUCUCUUAUAC